rnacentral:rRNA from 1 species
AGAGUUUGAUCAUGGCUCAGAUUGAACGCUGGCGGCAGGCCUAACACAUGCAAGUCGAGCGGUAGCACAGAGAGCUUGCUCUCGGGUGACGAGCGGCGGACGGGUGAGUAAUGUCUGGGAAACUGCCUGAUGGAGGGGGAUAACUACUGGAAACGGUAGCUAAUACCGCAUAAUGUCGCAAGACCAAAGUGGGGGACCUUCGGGCCUCAUGCCAUCAGAUGUGCCCAGAUGGGAUUAGCUGGUAGGUGGGGUAACGGCUCACCUAGGCGACGAUCCCUAGCUGGUCUGAGAGGAUGACCAGCCACACUGGAACUGAGACACGGUCCAGACUCCUACGGGAGGCAGCAGUGGGGAAUAUUGCACAAUGGGCGCAAGCCUGAUGCAGCCAUGCCGCGUGUGUGAAGAAGGCCUUCGGGUUGUAAAGCACUUUCAGCGGGGAGGAAGGCGAUAAGGUUAAUAACCUUGUCGAUUGACGUUACCCGCAGAAGAAGCACCGGCUAACUCCGUGCCAGCAGCCGCGGUAAUACGGAGGGUGCAAGCGUUAAUCGGAAUUACUGGGCGUAAAGCGCACGCAGGCGGUCUGUCAAGUCGGAUGUGAAAUCCCCGGGCUCAACCUGGGAACUGCAUUCGAAACUGGCAGGCUAGAGUCUUGUAGAGGGGGGUAGAAUUCCAGGUGUAGCGGUGAAAUGCGUAGAGAUCUGGAGGAAUACCGGUGGCGAAGGCGGCCCCCUGGACAAAGACUGACGCUCAGGUGCGAAAGCGUGGGGAGCAAACAGGAUUAGAUACCCUGGUAGUCCACGCCGUAAACGAUGUCGAUUUGGAGGUUGUGCCCUUGAGGCGUGGCUUCCGGAGCUAACGCGUUAAAUCGACCGCCUGGGGAGUACGGCCGCAAGGUUAAAACUCAAAUGAAUUGACGGGGGCCCGCACAAGCGGUGGAGCAUGUGGUUUAAUUCGAUGCAACGCGAAGAACCUUACCUGGUCUUGACAUCCACAGAACUUAGCAGAGAUGCUUUGGUGCCUUCGGGAACUGUGAGACAGGUGCUGCAUGGCUGUCGUCAGCUCGUGUUGUGAAAUGUUGGGUUAAGUCCCGCAACGAGCGCAACCCUUAUCCUUUGUUGCCAGCGGUCCGGCCGGGAACUCAAAGGAGACUGCCAGUGAUAAACUGGAGGAAGGUGGGGAUGACGUCAAGUCAUCAUGGCCCUUACGACCAGGGCUACACACGUGCUACAAUGGCAUAUACAAAGAGAAGCGACCUCGCGAGAGCAAGCGGACCUCAUAAAGUAUGUCGUAGUCCGGAUUGGAGUCUGCAACUCGACUCCAUGAAGUCGGAAUCGCUAGUAAUCGUAGAUCAGAAUGCUACGGUGAAUACGUUCCCGGGCCUUGUACACACCGCCCGUCACACCAUGGGAGUGGGUUGCAAAAGAAGUAGGUAGCUUAACCUUCGGGAGGGCGCUUACCACUUUGUGAUUCAUGACUGGGGUGAAGUCGUAACAAGGUAACCGUAGGGGAACCUGCGGUUGGAUCACCU